GACGAACGCUGGCGGCGUGCUUAACACAUGCAAGUCGAACGAAGUGGCGAACGGGUGAGUAACGCGUAAUCAACCUGCCCUUCAGAGGGGGACAACAGUUGGAAACGACUGCUAAUACCGCAUACGGAAGGAGGGGUUUGCGUCUGAUUAGCUAGUUGGGGGGGUAACGGCCAGCCAGGCCGAAGAUCAGUAGCCGGUCUGGGGGGAUGAACGGGCACAUUGGGACUGGGGCACGGCCCAAGCUCCUACCGGAGGCAGCAAUGGGGGAUUUUCCGAAAUGGACGAAAGUCUGACGGAGCAACGCCGCGUGAGUGAUGAAGGGCUUCGGGGUGUAAAGCUCUGUUAAGCGGGACGCGGUACCGGAAUAGAAAGCCACGGCUAACUACGUGCCAGCAGCCGCGGUAAUUC
rnacentral:rRNA from 1 species